rnacentral:rRNA from 1 species
GGAGCCGUAGCGAAAGCGAGUUUUAACUGAGCGUUCAGUUACUUGACGUAGACCCGAAACCGGGCGACCUCCCCAUGAGCAGGAUGAAGCGAAAGGAAAAUUUCGUGGAGGUCCGAACCCACGAGCGUUGAAAAGCUCGGGGAUGACUUGUGGGUAGCGGUGAAAUUCCAAUCGAGCCCGGAGAUAGCUGGUUCUCCCCGAAAUAGCUUUAGGGCUAGCCUCA